UAUAUAUAAGAGCAUUUUUUACACUGCAUUAGUGUCAAAAAUGCUCUUAUAUUAUGGGAUGGUGCAGUGUCAAAAAUGCUUUUAUAUUAUG
rnacentral:pre_miRNA from 1 species